rnacentral:rRNA from 1 species
UAAUACUGGAUAUGAGCCGUCCUCGCAUGGGGGUGGUUGGAAAGUUUUUCGGUCAGGGAUGGGCUCGCGGCCUAUCAGCUUGUUGGUGGGGUGAUGGCCUACCAAGGCGACGACGGGUAGCCGGCCUGAGAGGGCGACCGGCCACACUGGGACUGAGACACGGCCCAGACUCCUACGGGAGGCAGCAGUGGGGAAUAUUGCACAAUGGGCGCAAGCCUGAUGCAGCGACGCCGCGUGAGGGAUGAAGGCCUUCGGGUUGUAAACCUCUUUCAGCAGGGAAGAAGCGCAAGUGACGGUACCUGCAGAAGAAGCGCCGGCUAACUACGUGCCAGCAGCCGCGGUAAUACGUAGGGCGCAAGCGUUGUCCGGAAUUAUUGGGCGUAAAGAGCUCGUAGGCGGUUUGUCGCGUCUGGUGUGAAAACUCGAGGCUCAACCUCGAGCUUGCAUCGGGUACGGGCAGACUAGAGUGCGGUAGGGGAGACUGGAAUUCCUGGUGUAGCGGUGGAAUGCGCAGAUAUCAGGAGGAACACCGAUGGCGAAGGCAGGUCUCUGGGCCGCAACUGACGCUGAGGAGCGAAAGCAUGGGGAGCGAACAGGAUUAGAUACCCUGGUAGUCCAUGCCGUAAACGUUGGGCACU